GGAAGUGUGCCUGAAAAUAAGGACUACCUUGAUAGAGUAGACACGGGACCACUAAACCCCACUACUC
rnacentral:tRNA from 1 species